AUUUCCUUCUCCAGGGGAUCUUCCUGACCCAGGGAUUGAACCCAGGUCUCCCACAUUGUAGGUAGACGCUUUACAGUCUGAGCCACCAGGAAAGUCCUAAAAAUCGCCAAGGGAGCCAUGGGAGCAGAUAGCCUGAGUUUGAGCCCUAGCAAAAGACCACUGGUGGACAGAAAGAGAGAAAUAGAUUUCCUUAAAGUAACUGACUAAAUAUAACAUGUUUACUAAAAAGCUGGCCACAGACAGCUAAAAUGCAAAUACAAAUGAACUUUGAUGGGCUAGUUGGCAAGCCGCCUCAGCCCUUUAAGCAAAUUCCUGAGUGAUAAAGUUUGUUCUGAAACAUACCUGGGAGCUAGCACUUAAGAACUUCCUAGGGGCUCUUAUCUUUUAGGAUUUAAGAAGUAGCUAGAUUGUGAACGUUUUUCAGACUGCUUUUAUUCUUUCUUUCCAUUUAUCUAUCUACUUACCUACCUAUCUAUGUUUGCCUUAGCAGACCAAUUCGUUAUCCUUAAUGAUGACUAAGACAUCAGCUUCUGUUUACUGAUUUGGUGAACUGAGGUACCAGCACAGUAAGGAACUUGCCUUGAGAUGAAGGAAUAUACAGUCGAACAACAGCUAGAAUUCAGGUUUCCCAAACUGCAGUUCUUUCUUUAGCCCACUGGUGGGCUGCCUCCUAUUUCUAUUUCUUUCACAGGUUCUUUUUUACAUACAUGUACAUAUCUGCAUAGGAGAUGUCUUUGGGACCAUCGGUUCUCUUCACGCAGCUGGCCUGGAAUCUGAGACAGAUCACUGGAACACUCUGGGUCUGUGUUUUUCUUGAUUGGAAGAGGGAAUUUUGAACUUGACACCAUUUCUGCUCUGACCCUUCAUAUGGUGGGUGAGAAUAAUGGAAACAAGGAGAAUGUGGCAAACCCAAGCCCAACAUUCUUCUGACUCAUAUGGAAUCACAAAACAAGGCAGAAAAAUGGCUGUAAGUGCCUGUCCACUAUCUGGGGGCUUUGUGCCAUCGGAUAAAAUUGUGAGGUUAAAUGGCUACCAAAUCAUCAUAUCAUCUGAGAAUAUGUCUGCUUGGUUUGGGCUCAGAUCCCAGGCUAGGAGUGUCUAAACCACAGUCUAUACUUAGUUUAAGUUAGCCAGUGGAAAAGCAUCUGUAUCAGCAUUAAUAUGCCCGACUAAAGUGUCUCAAAGCUUAUAGAAAAUAUUUCUUUCCACAAGAGACUGAUAUAUAUGUAUAUAUGUGGUGGGCAAAACUCAGUAUACUAACCACAGGCCUUUCAGAUUACUCAAGAGGGCCACAGUUGAAGAAAAAGAGAAGGAAAAAACAAAACAAAACCUGACAACAAUUCCAUACACUGCAGCAUUUGGCUGAAUAGGUCAGCAGGAUGUGGAAACUUGUUUUGAGGUUAUUUUGUAUUCUCACCCAGGAUCCCACUGCUUAAUAGCUGUGUGGUUCUUUGCUGGCUAUAUACUGAAUUUAUGAAGGAUGUUGUGAGAGUAAGUUCUAGGAAUUCUGAUAUUUUGAAAUUUGUUGUGCUUUUGUUAACCACAGUGAAACGUUACAUUUGUGGCUUUCUAUACAACUUUCAUUUAUUUGGUUCUGGUUAUGAAAAAACUUAAUGAAGCUUCAUCAGUUCUGUGUAUUUCAGAAAUCAUGGUGGGGACUUCCCUGGUGGUAUAGUGGAUAGGAAUUCACCUGCCAAUGCAGAGACCAAGGGCUUGAUUCCUGAUCUGGGAAGAUCCCACACGCCACGGAGCAACUAAGCCCAUGUCCCGCAACUACUGAGCCCUGCACACCUAGAGCCUGUGCUCCACAAAAGAGAAGCCACCUCCAUGAGAAGCCUGUGCACUGCAACUAGAGGAAGCUGGAGAAAGCAACGAAGACCCAGUGCAACAACAACAAACAAGAUUUUUUUUAAUGUGAUGGCGGGAAGCAUUUACAUGUGGUUGUUGUUUCAUUUCAACUAUUCUUCAAAAACGGGGGCGAGAAAAGCCAAGUUCUCUAGUUUUCAUAUAAAGAUGACUCAAUUUAUUUGAAAAUGAGUGUUCCAGAAUCAGACUUCCAGAUUCCAUGAAUUCAGAGUGUGGAAAAGGACACGCAGCUCCCUUUAGCUGUAACAGGAGACAGUCUUUUAAAAGCCUGGAAUGCUGAAGCUCUCUUACACUGAAAACAUGUUAGGACAUGCCUUCUUGGGAUGCUACCAAGUGGUUUAGGCUCUGAAUUCUACAUUCUGUACUUUUGAAGUUGUUUUCUGUUGGCAGACAACCUCUUGAUUAUUCUCAUGUGAUGAGUGUUCAGGCCAACCUCUCCCGUUCCAAGUAAUUAAAAGAUAGCAACAAACUCAUACUCUGUCAAGUAUCUACACUUUAGCAUAAAGUUGUGGGUUGUGUGAGUGCUGGGCUUAUAGUGAUCAAUUCUAUGAGCUUUGUCAUUUGUUCAGUCAGUAAGUUGUGUCCAACUCUUUGCAAACCCAUGGACUAUAGCACUCCAGGCUUCCCUGUCUUUCAAUAUCUCCCCGAGUUUGCUCAAACUCGUGUCCAUCGAAUCGGUGAUACUAUCCAACCAUCUCAUCCUCUGUCAUCCCCUUCUCUUGCCUUCAGUCUUUCCCAGCAUCAGUUAAAAAUCAUACACACACUACCUGCUACUGCUGCUGCUAAGUCACUUCAGUCGUGUCCGACUCUUAGCGACCCCAUGGACUGCAGCCCACCAGGCUCCUCCGUCCAUGGGAUUUUCCAGGCAAGAGUACUGGAGUGGGGUGCCAUCGCCUUCUCUGACACACUACCUAGACUGCUUUAUUCUCUAAAGCUUACUCCUGCUGUUUGAAAGUGUCACCAUGUUAAGGAAUGAAAAAUUAUAGCGACUGGGGAAAAGUUUUCACCUUUUUUCAUUUCCCUAGUAAAAUUAAGCAAUAAUUUUCAUUCCCCUCAGCUCCUUUUGGAACCAAGGCUAGCAGUGGAUUAAAGGACAAAUAAAUGAAUGAACAAGUCUAUGGUGUUUCUUUCUUCUGCCUCAGAAAGAUGCGGUUUCUUCUGCCAGCAGGAGAAACAGGACUCCUGCUGACACUUCCAGUCGUCCUCAGAAAAGCCAUUGAGCUACCCUUGGGUUGAAUGAAUGAGAACUUUCUGGAGAGCGGAAGACUGGUGGAGGUCCAGCUGGAAAAACAUAUGGCCGCAGAGGCAGAAAGAGCGCUUCUUCAGGAUUGUGAGUGGUAUAAAAAACGUCUGCAGGCUCAAGGCAGCCGUUACAACCUAAGAUCUUACUAAGCAUGAUGGAUGUUCUUAUUUCUAGGACUGCCUCCAAUGUACCUGGACCGAAGCCAGUGCUGCAUCCUCAGGCGCCCCUAGGGAUUGUGCGUGCAGGACGGCACCACCUCACAGCCCCGCUCUGAGGUCCGGAUUCCACGCCCACUACCCACCGCCUCCCACUCUCCCACUCCCCUACCCUCACUGGGGCCAGGAGAUGGCGGCCCAUUGUGCCUUCUGAAAGAAAACAAAGUUUGCAAAUCACUGUAGACUGUCUUAUAAUAGGUAGGUCAGGAGGGAAAAUGACUAUGGUAAAUUCUCGUCUUAACCACACAUGACCUCAGCACAUUUUUGAGCUGCACAGUGACACAGAAUGAACUGAAGGAGAAAAACCAGGCAGUCUGGGUUCCAGACCAGGACACCACGAGGAGCUGACUUUUACAGAUAUGGGAGCUGUUGCUGCUCUUCCUGGAAUCUCUGCUGCUGCUGCUGCUGCUGCUGCUGCUGCUGCUGCUGCUAACUUGCUUCAGUCGUGUCCGACUCUGUGCGACCCCAUGGACUGCAGCCACCCAAGCUCCUCCGUCCAUGGAAUCUCUGCUACAGGGACAUAAACUCUUUAAGAUUGCCUGACUUAUCAUCCAUCCUUUUCUUCAUUUGAGACUUGAAAUUCGAACUGUGGUGCUGGAGAAGACUCUUGAGAGUCCCUGGGACAGCAAGAUCAAACCAGUCAGUCCUAAAGGAAAUCAACCCUGAAUAUUCAUUGGAAGGACUGAUGUUGAAGCUGAAGCUCCAGUACACUGGCUACCUGAUGCGAAGAGCAGACUCAUUGAAAAAGACCCUGAUGCUGGGCAAGAUUGAAGGCAGGAGGAGAAGUGGGUAACAGAGGAUGAAAUGAUUGGAUGACAUCACUGACUCAACAGACAUGAGUUUGAGCAAACUCCGGAAGAUAGUGAAGGACAGGAAAGCUUGGUGUGCUGCAGUUCAUUGGGUCACAAAGAAUCAGAUACGACUGAGUGACUGAACAAUAACAAUAGUUAAACUGAAUCUCCC
ensembl:lncRNA